rnacentral:rRNA from 1 species
UCGGUAAUUCCAGCUCCAAUAGCGUAUAUUAAAAUUGUUGCCGUUAAAAAGCUCGUAGUCGAACUUCGGGCUCUGUCAGCCGGUCCGCCUUCUUGGUGUGUACUUGUUUGACGGAGCCUUACCUCCUGGUGAACGGCGAUGUCCUUUACUGGGUGUCGUCGCAAACCAGGACUUUUACUUUGAAAAAAUUAGAGUGUUCAAAGCAGGCCUUUGCCCGAAUACAUUAGCAUGGAAUAAUAAAAUAGGACGCGCGUUCCCAUUUUGUUGGUUUCUGAGAUCGCCGUAAUGAUUAAUAGGGAUAGUUGGGGGCAUUUGUAUUCCGUCGUCAGAGGUGAAAUUCUUGGAUUGCCGGAAGACAAACUACUGCGAAAGCAUUUGCCAAGGAUGUUUUCAUUGAUCAAGAACGAAGGAAGGGGGAUCGAAAACGAUUAGAUACCGUUGUAGUCUCUUCUGUAAACUAUGCCAAUUGGGGAUCGGUACAGGAUUUUUAAUGACUGUAUCGGCACCCGAAGAGAAAUCUUUAAAUGAGGUUCGGGGGGGAGUAUGGUCGCAAGGCUGAAACUUAAAGGAAUUGACGGAAGGGCACCACCAGGUGUGGAGCCUGCGGCUUAAUUUGACUCAACACGGGA